rnacentral:lncRNA from 1 species
ACCGACGCACCACCGCGCGGCCCGACGGCUCCGGCGGAAGGCUCGGUGGUGAACGCUUUCGACUCUGCCCUUUCUCUCCCUCCGAGUCACAAUCGAGCCCUAACCGCGCGGCCUCCAUCUUCGCAGUCACCGAAUCGCAACGAAUUUAGAGGAUUUACACUGACGACGCCGCCCCGUUGCCUCCAUCUCCGUCUCGAAAGCCUCGAAAGGUAUGAUCUGGGUAAUCGUUCGACCAAGCCCUAACCGCGCAGCCUCUGCCUCCGCCUCCGCCUCCCCGAAUCUUGACGAACUCAGAGGGUUUACACUGACGACGUCGCCCCGUUGCCUCUGCCUCCGCCUCAAAAGGUACGAUUAGGGUAAUCAUCCAACCAAGCCCUAACCAUGCGGCCUCUGCUGCCGCCGAAUCUCAACGAACCCAGGGGGUUUACACUGACGAUGCCGCCCCGUCGCCUCCGCCUCCGUCUUGAAAGGUAUGAUUAGAAUAAUCGCCGACUCGUGGACUAUAGCCUCUGUACAUUAGAAUGAUUAUUGUUUAACUCGUGGACUAUAAGCUCUGUACAAUAGAAUAGAAUGACUAUAAGCGGAUUAUUGUCUAACUUCUGUAUUUUAGAAUGAUUAUUGUUUGACGAGGUUUACACUGACGACGUCGCCCCGUUGCCUCUGCCUCCGCCUCAAAAGGUACGAUUAGGGUAAUCAUCCAACCAAGCCCUAACCAUGCGGCCUCUGCCGCCGCCGAAUCUCAACGAACCCAGGGGGUUUACACUGACGAUGCCGCCCCGUCGCCUCCGCCUCCGUCUUGAAAGGUAUGAUUAGAAUAAUCGCCGACUCGUGGACUAUAGCCUCUGUACAUUAGAAUGAUUAUUGUUUAACUCGUGGACUAUAAGCUCUGUACAAUAGAAUAGAAUGACUAUAAGCGGAUUAUUGUCUAACUUCUGUAUUUUAGAAUGAUUAUUGUUUGACGAAUGGAAAGCUUCCUCCAUCUGUGGAUUUCGCAUGCAUGUGUAAGUAUGUUUAAAGCUGUUACGCGUGAAUUCAUGUCGUGCUUCUGGUAUAAUACAAUCGUGAGCCCAAGUAAUUCACAUCUUUGGCAAUCUUUUAAUUAGACACGUUCGGUGCAGAUGAUGUUUGACCUUUAAUUAGAAGUUGAAAAUUUGUGUGAAGCCAUCCUUAUAUUAUGUUUGCAUACCUAGGAUUUAGCUAUUUACUUAUGAAGGGUGCAGAUGAUGUUUGACCUUUAAUUAGAAGUUGAAAAUUUGUGUGAAGCCAUCCUUAUAUUAUGUUUGCAUACCUAGGAUUUAGCUAUUUACUUAUGAAGGGUGCGUUUGGGAAGACUUUGGGGAAAAGUCCUUGAGAAAAUGUAAACGUCUUAGUGUUUUUCAAAAUUGUCUUUGAGUUAAGGGUGUUUUUCAAAAUACAAAGUGUGCUUGGUAAAUUUACUUGUGAAAGUGCAUUGUGAAAUAUUUUUGUUCAAAAUAGUGUUUGGAUGAAUUAAAAAUGCAAAAGGCUUUUUAUUAUUAAAAAGAAAAGGAAUGUUGGCCGGCCAAGGCUUCGCCGGUUACUACCGGCCAACGGCUUCACCGGUCACCGCCGGCCAACGGCUUCACUGGUCAUCGCCAACCAAGGGUAGGCGAUUCAGCAAGGGUUGCGACGACCCUCCCCGUGCCGUCGUGCGACCCAUCGCGCCGCGGAGGUCGUCGACGACCUAUCUGGUCGUGCGCGGAGGUCGAAGGCCAGCGACCACAUCUAGUUGCGACCAGAUGGGUCGCGACCUCCGUGGAGGUCGCCUGAAGCAUGGCCAGUGACGCAGAUCUGGUCGCUACCAGAUCUACAUUGC